rnacentral:ribozyme from 14 species
AGAAGAAUAAGAAGAAAAAAGAGAAAAGGAAAUUCAUAGAUCAAGUACGUGUACACGUGUGUUCGUGUAUUCCUAUUGUGUUCCUCUCUCUUUCCUGUUGUUUCAAUAUCC